CUGAAGUUGUUGUUUUCCAAGAGAUUGAGAGAUGAAAAUAGAGCAGAAAUGGAAGAUGGUCUGAGAUCAAAGAUUCAGGUGGAGAAAUUAUGAAGAAAUCAGAGUUAUUCUUGAUUUGCAAAGAAGAUUAAUUGAAAUUGAAGUUAGGGUUUGAAGGAAUCAAUCCGAACGAAACAUGAAUGCCAAUGCAUUCUGACGACGACAUGGUUGAUGGUUUGGAUCUCAAUGGUACCUCUCAGAUCUUCCGAAGAUGGUACUUCUCCUCCUUCCGCAAGGAAGGCUUAAUACCUAAUCAACAUCCAGAGGACAGGGAGCUAUCCAGCUAUAAACUGGACGCCUCGACAAUCCAGUUGAGGAGCUCAAAAGAUAGAUGACGCUUGAAAACAUUAAAGUCAUUCCAAUUUUCUCUUUUGCGUCAGAAUUAUGGAGACUUCCAUGGUUAGUGAAGAUGGGAUUCUGACACCAAGCAUCUCAGUGAUGUCUUAUAAAAACAUUUGCAAGGAUUUGGCAUCAAGUUAGGAAGAUAGGACAUCCAUCUAAGCUGAUAAAGGAAGAAUAAACAGAAUAUGAGGAAUGAGUUGCGGAUCUGCAGUAACAAGUCCGGCUAGCAAAACUUGACACUCUAAAGACCAGCAUUUCCAAGAGCUACAUCGUCUAAUAUUUUGAGUUUUGUAAUAGAAUCUCUUUAAAAAAAAUUUUUGAAGCAUAUAUAUUAAAUA